rnacentral:rRNA from 1 species
GACAGAGGUGCCGAGCGUUAGGCGGAAUCACUGGGCUUAAAGCGUGUGUAGGCGGCGAUCAAGUACCUUGUGAAAUCCCACGGCUCAACCGUGGAACGCUGGGUAUACUGGUUGUCUUGAGCCGGCUAGGGGCGAGCGGAACAGACGGUGGAGCGGUGAAAUGCGUAGAUAUCGUCUGGAACGCCGAAGGUGAAAACAGCUCGCUGGGGCCGUCGCUGCGCUGAGACACGAAAGCCAGGGGAGCGAACGG